rnacentral:rRNA from 1 species
AUUGAAAGCUAGCGGCAGGCCUAACACAUGCAAGUCGUGAGAGCGGCGGACGGGAGAGUAAUGUAUGGGGAUCUGCCUGAUGGAGGGGGAUAACUACUGGAAACGGUAGCUAAUACCGCAUACCACCAGAUUAACCCAUAUGGGAUUAGCUAUGAGGUGAGGUAACGGCUCACCUAGGCGACGAUCCCUAGCUGGUCUGAGAGGAUGAUCAGCCACACUGGGACUGAGACACGGCCCAGACUCCUACGGGAGGCAGCAGUGGGGAAUAUUGCACAAUGGGCGCAAGCCUGAUGCAGCCAUGCCGCGUGUAUGAAGAAGGCCUUCGGGUUGUAAAGUACUUUCAGUCGGGAGGCGUUACCGACAGAAGAAGCACCGGCUAACUCCGUGCCAGCAGCCGCGGUAAUAC